GAAAUGGAGGAUGUUUCUGCACACCAGAAGGAUGACCGGCCAUCAUUCACUAAUGAUAGUCUUGAAAAGGACAUGCAGCAGCAGGGCAAUGAUAGGAUCAUGGAACCAGCUUCAAGUAGUCCCAACGGAUUCCCUCCUUUACCCGAGGGUUCCCCGCCAUUACCCCCAGAUUCUCCUCCACCACCACCACCUUUGCCACCUUCACCACCUCCGCCCCCACCUCCAUCAUCUCCUUCACCACCUCCUCCUCCACCACCUCUACCAACACUACCACCUCCUCUCCCUGCACCGCCUGCAUGCCCUCCUCCAGCUUUCGUGCCCCAACCACCAUUGCCCACUCAACCUAUGCUACCUCCUCAGUCAUCAAUGCAGUCUUCACCUCAGUUGGCAUAUCAAGCACCUGUACCUCAUGACUAUCGGGGC
rnacentral:lncRNA from 1 species